rnacentral:RNase_P_RNA from 1 species
AGUAGGAUAAAUGAUCGCGGCUGGUAAAACGAAAGGUGCCAGACGAGGAAAGUCCGGGCUUCACAGGGCAGGAUGCCGGAUAACGUCCGGCGGAGGCGACUCCAGGGACAGUGCAACAGAAAUAUACCGCCGGCUGCGGCCGGUAAGGGUGGAAGGGCAGUGUAAGAGACUACCGCCCUGCUGGUAACAGCAGGGGCAUAUGUAAACCCCAUUCGAAGCAAGACCGAGCAGAGACAUAUGGCGGCCCGUCAGUUUCAGGUUGGUUGCUUGAGCCUUACGGUAACGUAUGGCCUAGAUAGAUGAUCAUUCACGACAUAACCCGGCUUAUCGUUCUGCUCG